AAGCUCAAUUUUACCAAUUUCUUUUAGGUGCAAAACAGCCCACAGACCUCUGCAUAAACCAUUUUCCCUUUGUCAGCAUAUCAGAAGGUAAAUGCUCAGUGCUAAAUCUUGGAACUGCUUGUAUAUGGAGCUUCAUGGCAUACCUGUCAGAUGUUCUGAUUCAUUUUUAGGACUCUGAAAUAUCACAGCUAUAAAAGAUUUAAAAGUUCAGCACAGAUUCAGCUGCUCGAUUCAAAGAACUGUAUUCAUUAACUGUUUACCUGCCCUUUGCAUACCCUCCAGGCUCAGAAUGGGAAUUGGCAUCUUAACAAUGAGCAAUGCACCAGCAUUAUGCUAAUGAGCCGCUUGGCAUAUUCACCCCAUGCCGCUCCACAGAAGUUCGUUAACUUUCACAGUACGCUAUGCUUAAAGAAGGCAGCGACAUUUAGAAAGGCAGGCAGCACAGACACAUGAAAGUCUCAGAGUUUGUCAGACAUGACUCAGCCCCCUUCCCACUUCCACAAGCAAACAUAUAUCUACAAAUGCAAAAUGUUGUUUCUUGCAGUUGAUGCAGACUUUCUGAGUGAUCCCUUUAAUCCUUCUUUCCCUUUACGCUACUUGCCGUCAGCUGGAGGAGUGUGAACACAGACAGGUGGUCCUCGCCUUGGAAGAGCUUCUCACAUGUGCUGACAGYGAGGCUGUAGAGCAAGUUUUUCUUGAUUUCAUGGUACAGAUUUCAAGGCUGCUUCCUGCAGGGCUGUCCAGUGUGAAUGUGAUCCCCCUAUUCACCUGUAGAGCUGUUCUGAAGUCUUCAUGAGAAGUGAGAGCCAAGCAGUGCCUAGAAGUGGUUUUAAAAGAUGCAGAUCAGCCACUGCCCCCGCCCUUUCCUCUUCAAGAUCUAUGUUCUGUUUACUGGAAAAUAGUUGGCGGUCAGUCACAGGAUGCACCACACUGCAUUCCUCUUCUGACAUGUGGAACUUGUUUGGUACCAUAAUGCAGCAGCUGGAGACACUUUUCUUAGAGCAGAGCUCAUGA
rnacentral:lncRNA from 1 species